UGGACGAUGCUAUAAAUGCUACAGGCAAGCGUUUCAACCGCCCUUUUUAUACUAGUAGCACAACGUGGUUACGAAAUUAAGAUAGAUGUGCAACGAGUUCCCUACUGAGAUGGUGGCAGUGCAGGAUACAACAUCAGAAGGAUGUGCUGUAGGAGAAAAUGGAAGCUGGAUUGGAGGAUGAAGUUAUCAAUAACCUGAAACAAACUGAUGGUGCAGGAUACAAACUUAGAAGGAUGUGGGAAGAGUUGAAGCUGGCAGAUGGGAAUCGGGAGUUCCCAGUAACCUGAACCAGAAUAGUCAUGUCAAAAGGAUAUACUCCAGAAGAAAAUGAAAGUGGAUUGAUGGGUUGAAGGAAUUCUUAGGAACCCGAAACCAACAAAUUGAGACCUGCUUUGGCAAGUGCCUUAGAAGGAAGAUUUCAGAACAUUGGUGGCUUGAGCUAUGGCGUGAUGGUGCAUUAUAGGGUGUACAUGCAUCGGGAGAACAGAAGUGGUCCUGAUAUACAACUGUCCUGGUAGUGGCACCAUGAUCAACAUCAUGUGUUGUGACCAUUGUCCUACAAACACCGAUUUUUCCCCUCAGUCCUCCUUGCAAUAUGCAGGUUCACUUUGUAACAGAAGGGGGUGCCAUUCGCUUAUCAAAAUGAAUACUGCAUAUAGAUGGGAGGAGCUAACCUCAUAACAGCUUUGAUGCAGACUGGUGCAUUUUCCCUUUCUUUUUUUAAGCCCAUCUUAAUCCCAAAUGAUUUCUUGCUCACUUUGGUAGGCCUGUGUAUCUAAUGCUAAUGGGCAAGGUACAUUUCUACAUUUUAAAUUCAGCUUUAAUCCUGAGUGACUUCGAAAUCUCUUCAUUGGCCUUUCUAGUUAUCAUAUCCAAAAAUGAAUGGUUAAAUUUGGAGACCGACUAUUCUGGCUCCCAUGCUCAGCCGACAAUUAACUUUGGUUGUUUGGCUGGAUUGCCAUUACUGUCAAAUUUGUGCUGAGAAAUUGAAUGUUCUCGGUGUAGUGUGCUACUGGGGCAAUCAUUCUAUUGACAUAGUUCAAUUUCUGGUUGAUUUAUAGCAAAUGGAAAUUGAUCUUGUGUAAAAAAAUAAAAAUAAAAAAAUUAAAAAAAAUAAUUUACAAAAUAAAAAAGGGGAAAAAAAUCCUUAGUACAAUCCUGACCCCAAUGCCAUGUCUGGUCCUGUUGGGACUGAAGACAUAUUGGAUGCAUGAAGUCUGAUUGCAUGCAGUCAAAGCAUGGCAGCCAAUCCUGUUUAGAAUAUUGAAUGCAUAAUUCAUCAAGUGCUGUAAAAACCUUGUGGGCAAAAUGUAAGAUGUAAAAUUUGGACUUCAAGUUCUUCAAGCUUCAAAACACUUGAAGGAGAACAGUGGCUUUUUUUUGAGGCUUUGGAAAUUAUAUUUUUGAAAAUCUAAUUCAGGUGAAAUGCCAUUAAUGUAACCAAAAUAAUAUAACUUAUACUUGCAUGUUGUUACAGAAGAAUGUGUCUUUGCUCAAGUUGUGAGUGUGAACAUGAAUAAAAUUGAAUCUAAUAA